UACGUAGGGCGCAAGCGUUGUCCGGAAUUACUGGGCGUAAAGCGUGCGCAGGCGGCCUUGCAAGUCGGGCGUGAAAUCCCACGGCUCAACCGUGGAAGUGCACUCGAAACUGCUCGGCUAGAGUCUUGGAGAGGAAGGCGGAAUGCUUGGUGUAGAGGUGAAAUUCGUAGAUAUCAAGCGGAACACCGGUGGCGAAGGCGGCCUUCUGGACAAUGACUGACGCUAAAACACGAAAGCGUGGGGAGCAAACAGG
rnacentral:rRNA from 1 species